GAUGAAGAACGCAGCGAAAUGCGAUAAGUAAUGUGAAUUGCAGAAUUCAGUGAAUCAUCGAAUCUUUGAACGCACAUUGCGCCCCUUGGUAUUCCGAAGGGCAUGCCUGUUCGAGCGUCAUUAUAACCCCUCAAGCUCAGCUUGGUGUUGGGGCCUGCUGCACUGGCAGCCCUUAAAAUCAGUGGCGGCGCCAUCUGGCUCUAAGCGUAGUAAUUCUUCUCGCUAUGGAGUCCUGGUGGAUGCUUGCCAUCAACCCCCAAUUUUUCUAUGGUUGACCUCGGAUCAGGUAGGGAUACCCGCUGAACUUAAGCAUAUCAAUAAGCGGAGGA
rnacentral:misc_RNA from 1 species